rnacentral:lncRNA from 1 species
GCUGCCUUGCACUUAGGGAAGGUUCACAUGCCUCAAGGAUCUCUCUCUCUCAGAUUUCUUGACUUUCCCUCAGUCUUCAGUAUAGUCCUCCUCUGUGCCUGGUGAAGACCUGUGGUAAAGUGCUGGCAGAGCUGCCGGCUUCCCCUUGAAGGAAUAGGAGUAGACCUGCUGAACUAUCACAUGAGAGAAGAGGCCCAAAAGCUUGCACACUACAGUCAAGCUGGCCCUUAAAGAGAUGGACCUAGAAGAUGCUGAGCCAGAUGUACUCAAUUACUUCUCCAAAAUUCAUCAAUUAGGAAUACAACAUGUUUAAGACCACAGAACAUCUGCAUAGGCUGUAAAUUUCGUUGAAUGAUGGAUGCAAAGAUGGAAGACAGAUGGAUAGAGGAAAAGACAGAAUCAGAUACUGGAUGAGUUAGUACUGCUGCCUGUGCUUCAGAGCUGUCUUAUUACCACAAGGCCGGCAAGCAUCAAUGUCCCCACAUCCCCCUCUGCCUCCCCCUGAAAUGUACCGAUUUAUAUGAAAAUUAAGAU